rnacentral:rRNA from 1 species
UGGUGGAGUGAUUUGUCUGGUUAAUUCCGUUAACGAACGAGACCUCAGCCUGCUAAAUAGUCGAGCGAAUGAAUUUUAUUCAUUCGUGUACCGUUCUGUCGACUUCUUAGAGGGACUGUCUGUAUCUAGCAGAAGGAAGUGUGAGGCAAUAACA